CACGUAGGGUGCGAGCGUUGUCCGGAGUUAUUGGGCGUAAAGAGCUCGUAGGCGGUGUGUCGCGUCGGCCGUGAAAACCUGCAGCUUAACUGUGGGCUUGCGGUCGAUACGGGCAUCACUGGAGUUCGGCAGGGGAGACUGGAAUUCCUGGUGUAGCGGUGAAAUGCGCAGAUAUCAGGAAGAACACCCGUGGCUAAGGCGGCUCUCUAGUACGUGACUGACGCUGAGACGCGAAAGCGUGGGGAGCGAACAGG
rnacentral:rRNA from 1 species